rnacentral:rRNA from 1 species
UUAUGGCUCAGGACGAACGCUGGCGGCAUGCUUCAUACAUGCAAGUCGAACGAUAAGGUCUCUUCGGAGAUACAUAAGUGGCGGACGGGUGAGUAAUAUGUAGGAAAUCUGCCCUAGAGAGGGGGACAACAGAGGGAAACUUCUGCUAAUACCCCAUAUGAGCGUACCUGAAAUGGUAUUCUUGAAAACUCCGGUGCUCUAGGAUGAGCCUGCAUCUGAUUAGCUUGUUGGCGGUGUAAUGGACCACCAAGGCGACGAUCAGUAGCUGGUUUGAGAGGAUGAUCAGCCACAAUGGGACUGAGACACGGCCCAUACUCCUACGGGAGGCAGCAGUAGGGAAUUUUGCGCAAUGGGCGAAAGCCUGAACCGCAGCAAUGCCGCGUGAACGUAGAAGCCCUUCGGGGUGUAAAGUUCUGUCAGUGGGGACGAAUAAUGACGGUACCCACAGAGGAAGCACCGGCUAACUCCGUGCCAGCAGCGGC